rnacentral:rRNA from 1 species
CCUACGGGAGGCAGCAGUGAGGAAUAUUGGUCAAUGGACGCAAGUCUGAACCAGCCAAGCCGCGUGCAGGAAGACGGCCCUAUGAGUUGUAAACUGCUUUUGUACGGGGGUAAACGCAGUUACGUGUGGCUUGCUGCAGGUAUCGUAUGAAUAAGGAUCGGCUAAUUCCGUGCCAGCAGCCGCGGUAAUACGGAGGGUCCGAGCGUUAUCCGGAUUUAUUGGGUUUAAAGGGUGCGCAGGCGGUCGGUUAAGUUAGAGGUGAAAUGCCGAGGCUCAACCGUGGCAUUGCCGCGGAAACUGGGGGGCUAGAGUGGAGUAGAGGUAGGCGGAA